UGGGGAAUCUUGGACAAUGGGGGCAACCCUGAUCCAGCCAUGCCGCGUGAGUGAUGAAGGCCUUAGGGUCGUAAAGCUCUUUCGCCUGUGAAGAUAAUGACGGUAGCCGGAGAAGAAGCCCCGGCUAACUCCGUGCCAGCAGCCGCGGUAAUACGGAGGGGGCUAGCGUUGUUCGGAAUUACUGGGCGUAAAGCGCGCGUAGGCGGUCUAAUCAGUCAGUGGUGAAAGCCCUGGGCUCAACCCAGGAAUUGCCUUUGAUACUGUUAGACUAGAGUUCGGGAGAGGAUAGUUGGAAUUCCCGAGUGUAGAGGUGAAAGUUCGUAGAUAUUGGGAAGAAUCACCAGUGGCGAGGCGGCUAUCUGGACCGAUACGUGACGCUGAGGCGCGAAAGCGUGGGGAGCAAACAGG
rnacentral:rRNA from 1 species